rnacentral:rRNA from 1 species
UACAGAGGUCUCAAGCGUUGUUCGGAUUCAUUGGGCGUAAAGGGUGCGUAGGCGGCGUGGUAAGUCGGGUGUGAAAUCUCGGAGCUUAACUCCGAAACUGCAUUCGAUACUGCCGUGCUUUGAGGACUGGAGAGGAGACUGGAAUUUACGGUGUAGCGGUGAAAUGCGUAGAUAUCGUAAGGGAAGACCAGUGGCGGAAGGCGGGUCUCUGGACAGUUCCUGACGCUGAGGCACGAAGGUCAGGGGAGCAAACGGG